UACGAAGGGGGCGAGCGUUGUUCGGAAUCACUGGGCGUAAAGGGCGCGUAGGCGGCCCCUCCUUGUCGCGUGUGAAAGCCCCGGGCUCAACCUGGGAACGGCGCGCGAGACGGGGGGGCUGGAGUUCGGGAGAGGAGCGUGGAAUUCCCAGUGUAGAGGUGAAAUUCGUAGAUAUUGGGAAGAACACCGAUGGCGAAGGCAGGUCUCUGGGCAUUAACUGACGCUGAGGAGCGAAAGCAUGGGGAGCGAACAGG
rnacentral:rRNA from 1 species